rnacentral:rRNA from 1 species
GAUGAACGCUAGCGGCAGGCCUAAUACAUGCAAGUCGAACGGUGUAGCAAUACACAGUGGCGCACGGGUGCGUAACACGUAUGCAACCUACCUAUUAUUGGGGGAUAGCCUUUGGAAACGGAGAUUAAUACCGCAUAAGACAGUGACAUGGCAUCAUGUAGCUGUUAAAGCUUUGGCGAUAAUAGAUGGGCAUGCGUCCAAUUAGUCAGUUGGUGAGGUAAUGGCUCACCAAGACGAUGAUUGGUAGGGGAUCUGAGAGGAUAAUCCCCCACACUAGCACUGAGAUACGGGCCAGACUCCUACGGGAGGCAGCAGUAGGGAAUAUUGGGCAAUGGACGGAAGUCUGACCCAGCCAUGCCGCGUGCAGGAUGACGGCGUUAUGCGUUGUAAACUGCUUUUUUAUAGGAAGAAGAAGCCCUUGCGAGGGAAAGUGACGGUACUAUAAGAAUAAGCACCGGCUAACUCCGUGCCAGCCGCCGCCGUAAGAC